rnacentral:rRNA from 1 species
AUUGAACGCUGGCGGCAUGCCUUACGCAUGCAAGUCGAACGGCAGCAUGGAAAGCUUGCUCUCUGAUGGCGAGUGGCGAACGGGUGAGUAAUGCAUCGGAACGUACCGUGUAAUGGGGGAUAACGUAGCGAAAGUUACGCUAAUACCGCAUACGACCUGAGGGUGAAAGCAGGGGAUCGCAAGACCUUGCGUUAUACGAGCGGCCGAUGUCAGAUUAGCUAGUUGGUGAGGUAAAGGCUCACCAAGGCGACGAUCUGUAGCGGGUCUGAGAGGAUGAUCCGCCACACUGGGACUGAGACACGGCCCAGACUCCUACGGGAGGCAGCAGUGGGGAAUUUUGGACAAUGGGGGCAACCCUGAUCCAGCCAUGCCGCGUGAGUGAAGAAGGCCUUCGGGUUGUAAAGCUCUUUCGGCCGGGAAGAAAUCGCACAGGCUAAUACUCUGUGUGGAUGACGGUACCGGCAUAAGAAGCACCGGCUAACUACGUGCCAGCCGCCGCGGUAA